AGGAGGAAUCAAACAACCUCUCUGAGUAAAAUUUUCAAAAGUUAGUAAUCAAUUCAUGUAAUUUCAAUUUUGAUAGUCUUUUGAUUAAUUUGUAAUCUAAAUUAUAGUUGGCUAAGCGAGUCUUACCCGUUUUAGUAAGGUAAUUUAUUCUAAUAUCAAAGAUUUAACUUUACAAGAAAAACAAUAUUGAGCUUGUAGUACGGGAACAAAGCUGAUGAAACUCGAGGUGGGAAAGUGUCACCCCACACAAUCGUUUGAGGAACUCUCAAGAACAUUGGACUUGAAAUGAAAGGAAAGAGGUGCAAAGGAGUGCUGGAAUUGGCUAAGUAUGGAAGCACCUGGGCUUGGCGAACUGGCAAGCGCGCCGCACCAAGCCUAAAAGAUCAGAUGAAUUUCUCAGGUGCACUGAGAAGCACGUCGCGCCAAAGGUAAAUAUGAUAUUGUUACUUGUGGCGCUCUAGCAGAAGCGUCGUGCCACAAGGGAAAGUUCUGCAGAAUUUUCAUGGUGCUUUGCAGUCGCGAUGCGCCAAAGGGAAUAGAAGAAGCAUGCUUCUAGGCACAAUUAGAGACGCGACCCGCCACACUUUUUUCAACUUUUCCAGCUUUUAAACAUUAAAUAAGAUUCCUAAUUUGAGUAGGAUUUGUUCCCAACUUUUCCUACUAUUAUAAAUAGAUCCUUAGGGAUCCAUUAAAAGGUUCGACAUUUGUUUAGUGUGAAAGAGCAAAAAUUCAAGUUUGUAAUAGGUUUUAAUUCUUUUACUCUUCUAUUUUGCAGAAAAUGCGUGAACAAUCAUACUUUACGAUUUCCUAAUACUAUGAGUAGAUAAACACCCUAGUUCUGAGGUUGUAGCUACGAAUUGAAUAUUGAGUAUUUGAGGGUUUUUGAAUUAA